CAAAGUGUAGCUUAAACAAAGCACCUAGCUUACACCCAGGAGAUUUCAUACAAAAUGACCACUUUGA
rnacentral:tRNA from 1 species